rnacentral:rRNA from 1 species
AGAGUUUGAUUAUGGCUCAGGAUGAACGCUAGCGACAGGCUAACACAUGCAAGUCGAGGGGCAGCAUAAAAGUAGCAAUACUUGGUGGCGACCGGCGCACGGGUGAGUAACGCGUAUGCAACCUACCUAUCAGAGGGGAAUAACCCGGCGAAAGUCGGACUAAUACCGCAUAAAACAGGGGCACCGCAUGGUGAUAUUUGUUAAAGAAAUUCGCUGAUAGAUGGGCAUGCGUUCCAUUAGGUAGUUGGUGAGGUAACGGCUCACCAAGCCGACGAUGGAUAGGGGAACUGAGAGGUUGGUCCCCCACACUGGUACUGAGACACGGACCAGACUCCUACGGGAGGCAGCAGUGAGGAAUAUUGGUCAAUGGGCGAGAGCCUGAACCAGCCAAGUCGCGUGAAGGAAGAAGGAUCUAUGGUUCGUAAACUUCUUUUGCAGGGGAAUAAAGUGCAGGACGUGUCCUGUCUUGUAUGUACCCUGAGAAUAAGGAUCGGCUAACUCCGUGCCAGCCGCCGC